CUGGCUUCUGCUACCGUCACUCAUCCUUUCUAAGUGAGGGCAGCCUUGAGGCCACAAAACAAAGGCCAAAAUGGCUUCAAGGACAGUAAGCUCAAGGUUUCAAAAGAUUGUGACUUCCGUUCUGCUGGCUGACCCUCUCUCCAGCCUUCUCAGCUUGCAUAUCUCCAUGAAGCAAGCUGCCAUGUUGGCAAGACCUACGUGGCAAGGAUUUGAGAGCAUCCUCUGGCCAGCAGCAAGCUAGGAACCGAGGCCCUCAGUCCAACAACCAUCAAGGGACUGAAUUCUGCCAACAAACAUGUGAACUUGGAUGUGGAUCCUUCCCCAGGUGAGCCUUCAGACGAAAUGCCAACCCUGGCCAAAAUUUUGGUUACAGCCUUGUGAGAGAUUCUAAAGAAAGGACCUGGCUAAGUUGUGCCCUGGCUCUUGGCCCACAGAAACUGUGAGAUAAUAAAAGUGUGUUGUUUUAAACCA